ensembl:lincRNA
GUUACUUCCUGGAGGGCGGAAGUUACCGGGUGCAAGUCCUGACGUAAAAUGAGUCCCCCGUCUGCGCAGUGCCAUGGUUCUUUGUCACCUCAUAAAGCGUACGAUCUCUUGGAAAUCCAGCACCAACCCCAUCUAAUCAGAAGGAGGAAGACGGCGCCGCAGAGCCCUUUGGGAAAUGUAGUUUCAGGACUGACUUCUGGGAAACGGAAUCAGAGGGAGGCGGUGAGCUUUCGCAGCCAAUUACAAGCGAGCUGGGGCGAGUCACGUGACGCGCCUUUGCUAGGAACGCUGAAAGGUGGAGUCUCGGGUUCUGGGCAGUAUCGCCUUCCACCUCCAGCCGUCAUCUUCUGUACAGGCGUCCCCUGUGCCUGCGCCAUUCUUGUCGAACACUGCACUGGCAGCAUACUUACCUACACUUGAGUUUAUCCCAGCUCUUCAAUGCAGGCUCUGUAGCACCUCGCCCUGCUCUUCUACCCAUGAAAUCUGAAACAAUCAGACUGAACCACUGAGCUGCUUUGUAAAUUUAAUGAAUAAGCCAUUAAUCAGUAGUCUGAUCGCCUCAUCUUUGGGCACUUUUUCACGAUUUGUUCUCACUCCCCCUCCUUGUCCUCACCCAUGACUGUGUCACUUAAGAAACUGAAGUCCUAAGACCUCUCUACAUGCCCUUUAUUGGUCCCUAGUUUCAUUUCUUCCCCUAAUCAACUUAGAUUCCAAGGAUCCUCUCCUGCCUCCUUUUCCUUGUGUCAUUCAAACAUUAAAACAGCUGCCUGCUUUAUGUUAACUAGGGGCUUCUGGAAGGAGAGAAACAGCGUUGUCUAAUUCUAACAGGUUGGUAGUUAGUGGAGAAAAAAUCAAAUAAACCCCUCUGGCCUCACUGACUAAAAUAUCACUAAUUUUGAAGGUCGCAGAAGCUGACCAGUACAUUAUUAGUCUCCCAAUAACUUUGCAGUAGAUAACACCUGAAUAUGGGCUACUAUUACAUCAGUUGCCUAGGUUACUUUUCAGAGACUUGAAGGCUGCUUUUGCUGAAAACAGACUCUAAGGAUGUCCGAUGGGUGACAUAAUGCAAUGAAAAAGUUUGACAUUUCUGCCUUUAUUUUUUGCUGCCUUAUUUUGAUUCAGAUUUCUACUAAACUCUUGAGUGUAGAUAUAUGGAUUAUUUGAGAAAUGUUCUGUCCAAAAGUAUAUAGCAGGGUCAAUGUGACCUAGACUUUCCUAGCCUCUCUCCUCUCCCUUCAAGGUUAAAGAUACACCAGCCAACUGCCAUGACAUGAAACACCAGACCAUGAAAGAAGCAAAAAGAGGUCGCAUCCUAGUUCCUGGAAGAUCUCCACCUUUUCCCAGAAACGACAUGAAUAUUCCUCCCCUUUAUUAACCUAGCUCUUUUCCUCCUUAUUUCUAUCCUGUAUCUUUAACGUCUCUAACUCCCUAGAGGUGGGAAGUUGAUUUGCAAGAAAAGUUUCUCCUCCAUUCUUUUGGCCACUGAAUAAAACCUUUGUUUCUCCUCAACAGGUAACUUUCAGAAGUUGGGUUUUCUUUGCUGUCCAGAGAACCUAGGUUCAGGAACAGUAUCCCUAUCAUCAAGGUCCCAGAUUUCAGCUAAGCCCUAAGCUCCGUGGGCUGAGUUACAGCAUUGACAGGAAAGAGGCUAAACAAUAAAUGCCAGGAUGCUACUGAGAGCCCUGGUGGGAAUGCAAGUCUUUGGAAAGACUCUCUUUGUGACCUUCCACCUCACUAUUAAGUCUCACGUCUCACGUUUGUUCUUCCCUAAGUGUAUGAGAAUGAAAUGCAAAACAAAGCAAAAUAUUAGAGGAAUAUUCAAGACUGUCAAAUUAGUAAGAAGAUAGA